CCUACGGGCGGCAGCAGUAGGGAAUAUUGCUCAAUGGGGGAAACCCUGAAGCAGCAACGCCGCGUGGAGGAUGAAGGUUUUCGGAUUGUAAACCCCUUUUGUUAGAGAAGAUAAUGACGGUAUCUAACGAAUAAGCACCGGCUAACUCCGUGCCAGCAGCCGUGGUAAUACGGAGGGUGCAAGCGUUACUCGGAAUCACUGGGCGUAAAGGGCGCGUAGGCGGGAUAGCAAGUCAGAUGUGAAAUCCUAUGGCUUAACCAUAGAACUGCAUUUGAAACUGUUAUUCUAGAGUAUGGGAGAGGUAGGUGGAAUUCUUGGUGUAGGGGUAAAAUCCGUAGAGAUCAAGAAGAAUACUCAUUGCGAAGGCGGCCUGCUAGAACAUAACUGACGCUGAUGCGCGAAAGCGUGGGGAGCAAACAGGAUUAGAUACCCUAGUAGUC
rnacentral:rRNA from 1 species